UCCGUUAUGGUGUAUUGGCUAACAUUAUAGCCUCUCAUUUAGGUUCCCGAGUCGAGCUCGCGAUAGCCCAGGGCUCGAUUCCCUGCAACGGAA